UUAACUAAUUUGUUAGUCAUAAAGGCCACAGCAAGUGGAAAACAUUUUAUAUGAUAAUCUGCUUUAGUCAUUAAAAGAAUAUGCAUAAUGGGUAAUUAAUAAGUAAGUUAAAGUGUAACGCAAUCAUGUUAAGCUUCACAGAGGGCAGUUAGUUCAGUCAUGUCAGUGUGACACAGCUGGAAGGCAUCAGGUACAGGAGACUCAUCACGACAGGCCACGUUUCCCACUAUAUAUACACUGUAUGGCAAAUGUUGGAAGAAUAUCUAUUCUUGUAUUUUCUUAUUAACAAUGUGUUGAAUGCCUGCUGUGUAAUUACUGUACUGCAAGAAUACUCCAGUGACACAGGUUAACUAACUAAACACCACACACAUUAUUGGUCCUGUAUCCGGGCAGCGGCGUGCCAGCGGCAACGCCUGAACACUCUGCUCUGCUGCAGGGGAGCCGCUGUGACUCGCGAGGAGACUUGUGGCACUACAACAAGCUAUGCACUUCCUGAUGUGUGCUAACUAUCAUCCCACUCUUGCUACAUCAAUGUGACUGAAGACCAUAACAUGUGCAUCACAUUAUGCAAAAGGAAAAGUACUCGUGUAGUCAAUGUGCAUUUCUUGGUGAAAAAAAAUUAGGCCACAGGUAUGAGCAAGGCAGGUGCACCAAUAAUGCAUAUCUUGUGCAGAAUGGCAUGCAGGAAAGAUCCUUUGACAUGGCUCACUGCACAACACACUGACACGUGCACUCUCUAUGCAAACAACAUGAGUAAUUUGGUGCUCAGCCUCUCCAUGUUUGCACUGUGCCCAGCCUUGUGCAGCAACACUCACACCCACACAACACAGGCAGUGAGAGGUGCAGCAUUUGUGUGUUAGGGUGUCUUGUAAGGCGCUUGAGAGUUGUAUGAGUGAUUCCUGAGAGAAAUUUUUUCUGUCUGUUAGAAGCAGGACUCCCCAUGCAGGCACACACACACAAGUUGGCUGGAGGGGCUGCUAUGUGGGGACUGGGGUCUGGGCAAGGGUAUGGGUGCCCACAGGGGUGUUGAAGGGGAAGGACAAGUAUGUUGUAGUCCCAGAGGUGCUUUAAGGGGCUGCCAUGGUUUGUUAAGGGGACAGACGGGUAUGUGGGCAGCCCCUGAGGUGGUGAGGGACUGCAACAUGGUGUGAGAGAGAUGGCAGGUGUGUGAGUGGCUCCAAAGGUGCUUUGGGGGCUAUCAUAAAGUGUAAAGGGGACAGGCAGGUGUGUGGUGUGCAGGGGAGGGACAGGCAGGUGUGUGGUGAGGGGGAAGGACAGGCAAGUGUGUGGUGUGAGGGGUCAGGCAGGUGUGUGGUGUGAGGGGACAGGCAGGUGUGUGGUGUGAGGGGACAGGCAGGUGUGUGGUAAGAGGGGGCAGGCA